AUUGAACGCUGGCGGCAUGCCUUACACAUGCAAGUCGAACGGUAACGCGGGGCAACCUGGCGACGAGUGGCGAACGGGUGAGUAAUGCAUCGGAACGUGCCCAGUAGUGGGGAGUAGCCCGGCGAAAGACCGGAUUAAUACCGCAUACGACCUACGGGUGAAAGCGGGGACCGGUAAGGCCUCGCGCUAUUGGAGCGGCCGAUGUCAGAUUAGGUAGUUGGUGGGGUAAAGGCCUACCAAGCCUUCGAUCUGUAGCUGGUCUGAGAGGACGACCAGCCACACUGGGACGUGAGACACGGCCCAGACUCCUACGGGAGGCAGCAGUGGGGAAGUAUUGCGCAAUGGGGGAAACCCCGUGACGCAGCCACGCCGCGUGGGUGAUGAAGGCCUCGGUUG
rnacentral:rRNA from 1 species